GACGGGGGAUGCAAGUGUUAUCCGGAAUCACUGGGCGUAAAGCGUCUGCAGGUGGUUUCCUAAGUCCACUGUUAAACCUUGAGGCUCAACCUCAAAUCUGCAUUGGAAACUAGGAGACUUGAGUAUAGUAGGGGUAGAGGGAAUUCCCGGUGUAGCGGUGAAAUGCGUAGAGAUCGGGAAGAACAUCGGUGGCGAAAGCGCUCUGCUGGACUGCAACUGACACUCAGGGACGAAAGCUAGGGGAGCGAAUGGG
rnacentral:rRNA from 1 species